rnacentral:rRNA from 1 species
UACGUAGGGCGGCAAGCGUUAUCCGGAAUUAUUGGGCGUAAAGAGCUCGUAGGCGGUUUGUCGCGUCUGCCGUGAAAGUCCGGGGCUCAACUCCGGAUCCUGCGGUGGGUACGGGCAGACUAGAGUGAUGUAGGGGAGACUGGAAUUCCUGGUGUAGCGGUAGAAAUGCGCAGAUAUCAGGAGGAACACCGAUGGCGAAGGCAGGUCUCUGGGCAUUAACUGACGCUGAGGAGCGAAAGCAUGGGGAGCGAACAGG